AGGAAAAUGGGAAUCCACUGGAAUAGAGAAAGACAACUGAGAUCCCAGAGAGGAGAUCGUGGGCAAAGAGCCCCAAUGAUGGCAUCUGGCUGAUAAAAUCACAGAGAAAAAAGCCAUGUGAGGACACAGUGAGAAGCUGCUAUCUGCAAGCUGAGAAGAGAAACAUCACUAGAAACCAUCCCUGCUGGCACUUGAUCUUGACUUUCAGCUUUCAGAACUUUGAGAAAAUAAAUGUGUGUCGCUUAAGCCAGUUCAUCUUUAGUUAUUUUGUUAUGUCAGCCUGAGCAGAAUUAGACAAAUACUAAUAGUAAACUAUAAGGUAAACUGUAGGCUUUGGGUAAUGACGUGUCAAUAGAUUUAUCAAUUGUAACAAAUGUAUCACUGUGAUGUGGGACAUUGAUAGAGCAGGAUGUUGUGCAUGUGUGGGCUGUGUGGGAGCAAAUCAUAUAUGGGAAUUCUCUUAACAUUCUAUUGAAUUUUUCUAAGAACUUACAACUGAUCUAAAAAUAAAGUCUGUUUUUUUAAAAAAUAAUUGAUUUUCCGUCAUAUUAACAGAAUAAAGAAAAAAAUCACAUAGUCAUGUCAAUUUCUGCAGAAAAAUCAAUUGAUAAAAUUCAACUUUUAUUUAUAAUAAAACUUCUUAGCAC
rnacentral:lncRNA from 1 species